AUAACUCGGAGGAAGGUGGGGAAGACGUCGAAUCAUCAUGCCCCUUAUGUCUUGGGCUACACACGUGCUACAAUGGCCGGUACAGAGGGCUGCAAACCCGUGAGGGGGAGCGAAUCCCAAAAAGCCGGUCCCAGUUCGGAUCGUGGGCUGCAACCCGCCCACGUGAAGCCGGAGUUGCUAGUAAUCGCGAAUCAGCAUGUCGCGGUGAAUGCGUUCCCGGGUGUUGUACACACCGCCCGUCACACCAUGGGAGUUGGGAGCGCCCGAAGCCAGUGGGCUAACCAGUAAUGGAGGCAGCUGUCGAAGGCGAGAUCAAUGACUGGGGUGAAGUCGUAACAAGGUAGCCGUAUCGGAAAGG
rnacentral:rRNA from 1 species